CAGUCCCCUCAGACUGAGGGGUUCGUUAGAAACAUAAUCCUUCAAGCACUGAACAGAUGUGGCUUCAGCAGUGAUGCAAGUAGUGAAGCAGGCAACAUUUCACUUUGGUCUCUUUAAACUGCGCGAGUUUUGCGCUUUGAAGUCCUCGAAAAUCUCCUGACCACUCGCGGUAUUGGCGUUGAGCUUGCCUCCGCCGGCGCGCACGCUCUCCUCGUCCGGGCAGAAAACUACAGCCAAAGAAGCCGCGGAGAGUUGGACAAGUCGCUGCUGUCCAAGUAAACACCGAGGUUUGCCACGCAUUCCUCCGGUGUGCGUCUGAAACCUGCAAUGUGUGAACCCGAGGCGCAGAGGACGUCCGACUGGUUUCUCUCGGCUUCCAGCGAAACGAGUGACGGCGGCAGAAAGGAGGAGGACUCACCAGCCUGUCGCUGCUGCUGCUGCUCCUGCUGCUGUUGCUGGGACAUACAGGUGGACCUCCCACCGACUGCUCACAGGCUCUUCCCAAGCAGUAUGGAGGAAGAUUUACCUGCAGUACUGCAAAGAGAAAGAAGCCACUUCAGCAAAAUACUACAUGGACUAUUUGACAUUUUACAUUUCCCCUACC